CGGCGGCGCAGGAGGGGGCGGGUGCGGCGGGGGCGCGGCCUCGGCGAGGGGGGCGCGCGACGCGCAUCCCCCGCGCUCGCCGGGGCCACUAGGGAGCCUCGCGGCAGUCCGCUGCCCCACUUGGCAAUCCGCUCCGCGCUGCUUCCUCGCGCCCGCCUCCUCUUGUCACCUCCCGUCUCAGCCUCCUCGCUCCAUCCCGACUGCAUCCACCGCCAUCCGAGUGCCUCAAAGAGCGAGAGGUGGUGCGCGGGACCGCAGGGCGCGCCCUCCAGCGGACCCCGGCUCGGCCUUGGUGGGGGCACGGGCGGCAGCAUGGACACCAAGCGCUGCUUUGCCAAUCGCUUCGAUGACUACCAGGGCAGCCUGCUGGCGGGCCAGUGCGAGGAGGCGGUGGCGCCCUUGGUCACCGCCACCAUCGAGCGCAUCCUCCAGGAGCUGCCCCCGCUCGGGGGCGGCCCAGAGGGCCGGGGGGCGGCGGCCGCGGCCAGCAGCUGCCAGUGGGGACUGUACGGCGGCGUGGCCGGGGUGGCCUACAUGCUCUACCACGUCUCUCAGAGCCCGCUCUUCGCCGGGGCCCGGGAGCGCUACUUGCGCUCGGCCAAGCGCCUCAUCGACGCGUGCGCCCGCGCUGAGGAGUGGGGCGAGCCGGACGCCGACACCCGCGCCGCCUUCCUGCUCGGGGGCGCGGGCGUGUACGCCGUGGCCACGCUCGUGUACCACGCCCUGGGCCGGCCCGACUACGUGCAGCCGUUGGGCAAGUUCCGAGCUCUGUGCGCCGUCUGCGCGCCCGUCUCCUUCCUCGAGUGCGGCUCCGACGAGCUCUUCGUGGGCCGCGCGGGCUACCUGUGCGCCGCGCUCGUGCUCAAGCAGAAACUCGCCCAGGAGGUAAGAGGCCACCCCGGCCGCAAGGGGGCGCGCGCCGCCCUACCACCCGGCUCCCGGCUCCGGGAGCGGAGCCCCGGCUGUUCUCCGUCUCUCUCUGUUACUCUUCUGACUCUGUGGUUUCUUGAGGCUCUGGAGGUUUAUCCCUUGCUUUUGUCCGUCUCCCCCCGCCGCGCUCUCCCCCCACCGCUUUCAGUCUUCUCAGUUGGGAUUACCCGCCUUUGCUCUUUGUUCGUGUUUUACUGA